GAUGAACGCUGGCGGCGUGCCUAAUACAUGCAAGUCGAGCGAACAGACGAGGAGCUUGCUCCUUUGACGUUAGCGGCGGACGGGUGAGUAACACGUGGGUAACCUACCUAUAAGACUGGGAUAACUUCGGGAAACCGGAGCUAAUACCGGAUAAUAUUUCGAACCGCAUGGUUCGAUAGUGAAAGAUGGCUUUGCUAUCACUUAUAGAUGGACCUGCGCCGUAUUAGCUAGUUGGUAAGGUAACGGAUUAACAAGGCAACGAUACGUAGCCGACCUGAGAUGUUGAUCAGCCACACUCGAGCUGAGAGACGGUCCAGACUCCUACGCAACGCAGCAGUAAGGUGUCUUGCGCAAAGGGCGAAAGCCUAACGGAGCACCGCCGCGUGAGUGAUGAAGGUCUUCGGCUCGUAAUGCUGUGUUAUUAGGGAGGAACAAACGUGUAAGUAACUGUGCACGUCUUGACGGUGCCUAAUCAGAAAGCGACGGCUAACUACGUG
rnacentral:rRNA from 1 species